rnacentral:hammerhead_ribozyme from 1 species
AUUCAGCUGACGAGUCCCAAACAUGACGAAAUGCGCGUCAAAUCGGAU